rnacentral:misc_RNA from 1 species
AUUCUUAAAACUAUGAUUUUAAGAUGACUACAUGUUAUAUAUAUCUUAUACGAUAUCCAAAUGAUGAAUGUGAAUGAAAUUUGCUUAUGUAAGUUAUUGAUGACUUUAAACAGAUCAGUUAUUUUCAAAUGAAGAUAUAUUACAAGAAUCGCGUGUAUUUGAUUUGAGGAAUAAAGAGACGCAUUUUGAAAGAAUGAAAAGAUCAUUAUUUCCAAUGCAGUGAAUAAAUCAGUAUAAUAAAUCAGGAACAGGAUUUUCAUUAGAUAUCAUAAAUAAAGUUCUUUUAAAUUUAAAAUUGCAUACCCAUUAUGGGAAACAUAGGUUU